AAUGAACGCUGGCGGCGUGCUUAACACAUGCAAGUCGCACGAGAAAGCUUCAGCUUGCUGAAGCAAGUAAAGUGGCGCACGGGUGAGUAACGCGUGGGUAAUCUACCCCUGAAUUCGGGAUAACUUCGCGAAAGCAAGGCUAAUACCGGAUAACAUUCCAUGGCUCUGGUUUAUGGAAUCAAAGGUGGCCUCUACAUGUAAGCUACUGUUUAGGGAUGAGCCCGCGUACCAUUAGCUUGUUGGUGAGGUAACGGCUCACCAAGGCGACGAUGGUUAGCUGGUCUGAGAGGACGAUCAGCCACACUGGAACUGACACACGGUCCAGACUCCUACGGGUGGCAG
rnacentral:rRNA from 1 species